rnacentral:rRNA from 1 species
CCCUUAGAUGUUCUGGGCAGCACGCGCGCUACAAUGGUCUUCGCAAACGGAUGCAUUCUCGAAGGAGAAUGCCAAUCUUGGAAUCUAUGCCUUGGUCGGGACAGUUGCUUGCAAUUUUUCGACUCGAACCAGGAAUUCCUUGUAAUCGUGAUUCAUCACAUCACGAUGAAUACGUCCCUGCCCUUUGUACACACCGCCCGUCGCUCCUACCGAUCGAAGAGUUAGGUGAAUUGUUUUGAUCGAUAAGAUUUGACUAUGGUCAACUCUCGUUGUGAAAUUCUGUGAAUCUGACUGUUUAGAGAAAGGAAAAGUCGUAACA